rnacentral:ncRNA from 1 species
CAAAGGUUUGGUCCUGACUUUACUAUCAACUGUAGCCCAAUUUAUACAUGCAAGUCUCCGCAUCCCAGUGAGAAUGCCCUCAACCUUCUGCUCGAAGACAAGGAGCGGGCAUCAGGCACAAAAUACUGCCCAAGACGCCUUGCUAUGCCACACCCCCAAGGGAGCUCAGCAGUAAUAGAUAUUAAGCAAUAAGUGAAAACUUGACUUAGUUAAGGCUAACAGGGUCGGUAAAAUUCGUGCCAGCCACCGCGGUUAUACGAAAGACCCUAGCUGAUGGAUUCGGCGUAAAGGGUGGUUAAGGUAAGAUAAAUAAUAAAGCCAAAGAUCCUCUAAGCUGUUAUACGCACUCCGAGAAAACGAAGCCUAUAUACGAAAGUAGCUUUAAUUACAAAAAACCUGACCCCACAAAAGCUAAGGAACAAACUGGGAUUAGAUACCCCACUAUGCUUAGCCAUAAACCCAGAUGAAAUAUUACACAAGCAUCCGCCCGGGUACUACGAGCACAGCUUAAAACCCAAAGGACUUGGCGGUGUCUCAGAUCCACCUAGAGGAGCCUGUUCUAGAACCGAUAAUCCCCGUUAAACCUCACCACUUCUUGUUAACCCCGCCUAUAUACCGCCGUCGUCAGCUUACCCUGUAAAGGACUAGCAGUAAGCAAAAUAGGUCCACCCAAAAACGUCAGGUCGAGGUGUAGCGAAUGAAGUGGGAAGAAAUGGGCUACAUUUUCUAAAUCAGAAUAUACACGAACGGCGCCCUGAAACAUGACGCCAAAAGGUGGAUUUAGUAGUAAAAAGUAAAUAGAGUGUACUUUUGAAUUAGGCUCUGAGACGCGCACACACCGCCCGUCACUCUCCCCACAUAAAAAUAACAAAAUAAUUAAUAAUACAUGAUAAAAUCCGGGGAGGCAAGUCGUAACAUGGUAAGUGUACCGGAAGGUGCACUUGGAUUAAU